GAUGAACGCUGGCGGCGUGCUUAACACAUGCAAGUCGAACGAAGCACUUUAACCUGAUUCUUCGGAUGAAGGUUUUUGUGACUGAGUGGCGGACGGGUGAGUAACGCGUGGGUAACCUGCCUCAUACAGGGGGAUAACAGUUAGAAAUGACUGCUAAUACCGCAUAAGACCACAGAGCCGCGUGGCUCGGUGGGAAAAACUCCGGUGGUAUGAGAUGGACCCGCGUCUGAUUAGGUAGUUGGUGGGGUAACGGCCUACCAAGCCAACGAUCAGUAGCCGACCUGAGAGGGUGACCGGCCACAUUGGGACUGAGACACGGCCCAAACUCCUACGGGAGGCAGCAGUGGGGAAUAUUGCACAAUGGGGGAAACCCUGAUGCAGCGACGCCGCGUGAGCGAAGAAGUAUUUCGGUAUGUAAAGCUCUAUCAGCAGGGAAGAAAAUGACGGUACCUGACUAAGAAGCACCGGCUAAAUACGUG
rnacentral:rRNA from 1 species